rnacentral:rRNA from 1 species
AUUGAACGCUGGCGGAAUGCUUUACACAUGCAAGUCGAACGGCAGCACGGACUUCGGUCUGGUGGCGAGUGGCGAACGGGUGAGUAAUGUAUCGGAACGUGCCCAGUCGUGGGGGAUAACGUAGUGAAAAUUACGCUAAUACCGCAUACGAUCUAUGGAUGAAAGCGGGGGAUCGCAAGACCUCGCGCGAUUGGAGGGGCCGAUAUCAGAUUAGGUAGGUGGUGGGGUAAAGGACCACCAAGCCAACGAUCUGUAGCUGGUCUGAGAGGACGACCAGCCACACUGGAACUGAGACGCGGUCCAGACUCCUACGGGAGGCAGCAGUGGGGAAUUUUGGACAAUGGGCGAAAGCCUGAUCCAGCCAUUCCGCGUGCAGGAUGAAGGCCCUCGGGUUGUAAACUGCUUUUGUACAGAACGAAAAGGUUUCUACUAAUACUAGGAGCUCAUGACGGUACUGUAAGAAUAAGCACCGGCUAACUACGUGCCAGCCGCCGCGGUAA